rnacentral:lncRNA from 1 species
GAGAAUAAAGCCCAAUUGGAGGAUCCCCAAAUCAGAUAGCCCAAAGAACGAAAUCCAAUUGAACGAAUCAAGGUGAAUGCCCAAAUAAGGGGCCCAAUAGUGCGGUAACGCCAUCGUCCAAGUUUGCAAGUCGCUCAGAGUCUGAACGAAUAGAGUGGCAUACGGUCGUCCAAAGUCUCGCCCAAAUCUUCAAGUCGCCCAAGGUAUCAACAAACAUAACGCAUUAUGAUGCAGUUAUUAAGGCAGUUGCU